UACAGAGGGUGCGAGCGUUAAUCGGAAUUACUGGGCGUAAAGCGCACGUAGGCGGCUUUGCAAGUCAGGUGUGAAAUCCCCGGGCUUAACCUGGGAACUGCAUUUGAGACUGCAUUGCUAGAGUAUGGGAGAGGGAAGUGGAAUUUCAGGUGUAGCGGUGAAAUGCGUAGAUAUCUGAAGGAACAUCAGUGGCGAAAGCGGCGUUCUGGACUGUAACUGACACUGAAAGACGAAAGCCAGGGGAGCAAACGGG
rnacentral:rRNA from 1 species